AUUGAACGCUGGCGGCAGGCCUAACACAUGCAAGUCGAACGAGUGGCGGACGGGUGAGUAAUGUCUGGGAAACUGCCCGAUGGAGGGGGAUAACUACUGGAAACGGUAGCUAAUACCGCAUACCAUCGGAUGUGCACAGAUGGGAUUAGCUAGUAGGUGGGGUAACGGCUAACCUAGGCGACGAUCCCUAGCUGGUCUGAGAGGAUGACCAGCAACACUGGAACUGAGAAACGGUCCAGACGCCUACGGGAGGCAGCAGUGGGGAAUAUUGCACAAUGGGCGCAAGUCUGAUGCAGCCAUGCAGCGUGGAUGAAGAAGGCCUUCGGGUUGUAAAGUACGUGCAGCGGGGAGGCGUUACCCGCAGAAGAAGCACCGGCUAACUCCGUGCCAGCAGCCGCGGUAAUUC
rnacentral:rRNA from 1 species